AGUGAACGCUGGCGGUAGGCCUAACACAUGCAAGUCGAACGGCAGCACAGUAAGAGCUUGCUCUUACGGGUGGCGAGUGGCGGACGGGUGAGGAAUACAUCGGAAUCUACUUUUUCGUGGGGGAUAACGUAGGGAAACUUACGCUAAUACCGCAUACGACCUACGGGUGAAAGCAGGGGAUCUUCGGACCUUGCGCGAUUGAAUGAGCCGAUGUCGGAUUAGCUAGUUGGCGGGGUAAAGGCCCACCAAGGCGACGAUCCGUAGCUGGUCUGAGAGGAUGAUCAGCCACACUGGAACUGAGACACGGUCCAGACUCCUACGGGAGGCAGCAGUGGGGAAUAUUGGACAUUGGGCGCAAGCCUGAUCCAGCCAUACCGCGUGGGUGAAGAAGGCCUUCGGGUUGUAAAGCCCUUUUGUUGGGAAAGAAAAGCAGCAGGUUAAUACCCCGCUGUCCUGACGGUACCCAAAGAAUAAGCACCGGCUAACUUCG
rnacentral:rRNA from 1 species